UCUUUAUGUGACCUUCCUAAACAGAUGGAAGGUGAUCAACAGAGAGCCUCUGAAUAGACUAAGAACAUCUUAAGUAAUUUAGUUGCUGCUGUUGACAAUUUGUGGUAUCUAAAAGAUGGAAUACAUACUGUAGUCUUGAAAAAACUUUCAGAAAAUGGAUCUUGCAGGCAAAGGACACCAAGUGAAUUAGAUAGAGAGGUUAAGAACUUGAGGGUGGCAUUUACUGACCUGUUUUUGAAGCAUAACACUUUCAAAGAAACUGCAAAGCCAUCGAGAUAUUGAUGCAAAGAAUAAAGCCGAGCUUAGAAUAUUAAGAGGUAACUCCUAGUGAGUGGAGAGAAGGCACUUCAACUUGGAUUGCAAGUAAUUGCAAAGAUUAAGGGCUAUGCUGAUGCAGCUCAGGCACCUGAAUUCUUUACAACUGCUCCAGCCCUUGUGAUACCAAAAGCUAUUUCAAAUGCUGGUUAAGAUGCUUCUCAGAUUGAUUACUACGAAAUAAAUGAAGCAUUUUCUGUAAGAUUUUAGUACUUGUAAUCCCUACACUGUUCCUGAUUUAGUAAGCAUUUUUUUUCAUUCAUUUAUAUUUGUCCUUCUUCUCUCUAGGUU